AUUGAACGCUGGCGGCAUGCCUUACACAUGCAAGUCGAACAGCAGCACGGGUGCUUGCACCUGGUGGCGAGUGGCGAACGGGUGAGUAAUAUAUCGGAACGUACCUUAUUGUGGGGGAUAACGCAGCGAAAGCUGUGCUAAUACCGCAUAAUCCCUAAGGGGGAAAGCGGGGGACCGUAAGGCCUCGCGCGAUUAGAGCGGCCGAUACCUGAUUAGCUAGUUGGUGAGGUAAAGGCUCACCAAGGCAACGAUCAGUAGCUGGUCUGAGAGGACGAUCAGCCACACUGGGACUGAGACACGGCCCAGACUCCUACGGGAGGCAGCAGUGGGGAAUUUUGGACAAUGGGGGCAACCCUGAUCCAGCAAUGCCGCGUGAGUGAAGAAGGCCUUCGGGUUGUAAAGCUCUUUUGUCAGGGAAGAAACAGCAGCUCUAACACAGUAUGCGAAUGACGGUACCUGAAGAAUAAGCACCGGCUAACUACGUGCCAGCCGCCGCGGUAA
rnacentral:rRNA from 1 species